GCUGGAUGUAGUGGCAUGCACCUGUAGUCCCAGCUACUUGGGAAGCUGAAGUGGGAAGAUUGCUUGAGCCCAGGAGUUCAAAAUGGCAGUGGGUUUGAUUGUACCACUGCCCUCCAGCCUGGGCAACAGAGCAAGACCCUGUUUCUU
rnacentral:sRNA from 1 species